GGCGCUUAGCUCAGCUGGUUAGAGCACCUCGUUUACACCGAGGGGGUCGGGGGUUCGAAUCC
rnacentral:tRNA from 1 species